AUUUUGUUUAGAAUGAUCAAACAGAAACAAUACGAUUGGAAGGACAGUAACCUGGCCCUAUUCGGCUCGGACACAGAGAGACAAGUCAAAAAGGACUCUGCCGAACAAGAGAAAGCUUGGAAAAAGGCGGGCCAAAAAUGUGGACUACAAAUAUGGCGGAUUGUGAAAUUCAAAGUCACAGAAUGGCCAAAAGAGGAUUAUGGGAAGUUUUUUGAUGGCGACUCAUACAUCAUUCUCAAUACUUACAAAGAAGAGAGUUCCGAGGCACUUCUCUAUGACGUCCAUUUCUGGAUUGGGAAAUACAGUACUCAGGAUGAAUACGGAACUGCGGCUUACAAGACAGUGGAGCUAGACACGUACCUGGAUGACGUCCCCGUACAGCACAGAGAAGUUCAAGGUCACGAGUCAGAUCUCUUCCGGUCCUAUUUCAAAGAAAUCACCUAUCUACAUGGCGGCGCUGACAGCGGAUUCCGGGCGGUCAAACCGGAAGAAUACACGCCACGUCUGUUCCAUUUCCAUGGCGACAAGUUCGGAGUCACAGUAAAAGAGGUGGUUCGGGAUAAAAGCCGAUUGGAUGACACAGAUGCCUACAUAUUGGACCUGGGUCUCACUAUUUACCAGUGGAACGGCCAAGGUUGCAACAAGGACGAAAGAUUCAAGGCGUUGCAGUAUGUGAAUAAACUGAAAGAGGAAAGAAGUGGGAAGAGGAUUCAAGUAGAAGUAAUAGACCAAAACUCCAGUGAUGAGGAGGACUUUCUGCGCCAUCUGGACGGGGGAAAGGAGGAGGACCAGUUUGACAAUUCCUCUGAUUACGAGGCCGGGGACAAAACCAAGGAACUGUUCAGACUAUCAGAUGCAGAGGGUUCAAUGAAAUUUUCACCAGAAAAGAAAGGAAAAGUAUCAAUGGGCGAUUUUGAUAGCAAAGAUGUAUUCAUUUUUGAUACAAAAGAGGAACUCUUUGUGUGGAUUGGAAAAGCCACAACCCCAGCAGAGAGGAAGAAUGCGAUGACCUACGCUCACAAUUAUCUGAUGAAGAGUGACCAUCCACUGCUUCCCAUCAGCUGUCUCAAAGAGGGACGUGAAAACAGGAACUUCUCUGCUGCACUUGCGGCUUAACUUUCAGAAAAAAAUGUUUUUCAAACAUUUUGACUUUUUCAACUUUGUCUUCAAUCAAAACUCAUAUCAUAACAAAAGUUUCAUGUUUCUGUGUUAUUAUGUAUCCAUUUUCUAUAUGAUAGUAUAUAUUUGUUGUUGAUGCGCGCUAGCUGUUAUGCAUAUAAAUUGAUCAUUUCUUAUCGUCUCGAUUGUUUUUUUUUUUUUUUUUUUACAUGUUUAAGAUAUUUUCUUUGUUCAUUCAACCUUAUGAUAAUUAUAGCAAAUCCGAAAAAAAACUUGAUUGUGUACUUAUUUUGCAGUUGUAAAUGAAAAUGCAUUUAGUUACAUGUAGAACGAAUUUAACAAGACCUGAGGUAGUUGUGUCAAACAGCAAUACGACGUAGGUCUGUCUGUUUCAUUGCUGGCCACUCAGUUAUGGUUCUUUGAAAUGAAAAGGAUUUGUCUGGCUAUUAGGCAGGGACUACGCAAUUUGUGUAUAUUACGCUUGAAACCAGCUUUAUUUUUUAACUUGUUUUGAUACAAAAAAUAGAUAGUUCCGUCCUACCGAAAGUCAAAGGUCUUUUUUUUUUAAAUUGUUCUUAGGCAGUCAAGUCGAUAGGAUUAUUUAGUAUUUUAUUUAGAAUGAACAGAAAUCAUUUAAUAUUUUUAGAUACAUGUGCAAUUAUUCGGAAAAUUCUACAUGCAAAUUGUGUGAUUAUGUAAGAAAAAAUCGAUAGGGAUAACACAUUGGUUGUUUAUUUAUAUCUCUUUCUUGAAUUAUAUUAUCUAACAAUUCUACAUGUGUGAAGGAAAUCCAUAAAACGUUAAACUUUC
rnacentral:misc_RNA from 1 species